GUAGUAUUCCCUCCGUCCCAAAAUUCUUGUCUUACAUUUGUUUAGAUAUGGAUGUAUCUAACACUAAAAUGUAACUAGAUACAUCCGUAUUUAGAAAAAUUUAAGACAAGAAUUUUGGGACGGAGGGAGUACAAA
rfam:Triticum aestivum genome assembly, contig: Triticum_aestivum_CS42_TGACv1_scaffold_129321_2BL